GUCUGGCUGGCUCAGUUGGUUGAGCAUUUGACUUUGGCUCAGGUCAUGAUCUCAUGAUUCGUGGGUUUGAGCCCCACGUCAGGCU
rnacentral:tRNA from 1 species